rnacentral:rRNA from 1 species
UUUCGUACAAUAAGAGAUGAGGUGUAAAGGCGUCUCGUGUUUAACAGACGUACGGCUUAAUUAUUAUUGAGUGAGUGCUCUGAGAAGGUGAAAAGCCUGUGUAGUUGUGUCUGUCUGUUGAACCGUGAUGCUAAAGAGUCUAGUUGUUUGAGAGUACAACUUAAAGUUGGUGGUAAAUUUCAUCAAAGGCUAAAUAUACUAAGGGACUAAUAGCGAACAAGUACCAUGAGGGAAAGUUGAAAAGAACUCUGACGAGAGAGUUCAACAGUACGUGAAACCAUAAUGAGUAAAACAGAUAACUGUGUUGUUCAUGUGGCAUGCCCUUCAUCAGUACGGCCGUCGUUGCGCUGUCCGCGAGAGCGAGCUGUUUAUUCAGCGAAUUGCUCGCGGCGCGUGCAUAGGCUGUCGUGCUGUGAUCUGGUGCAUGCUCAAUCACCGAGAAGCUAUACCGGCUGCGGUCGCGGUGUGCCAGAGCCCGCACUAUGUGCGCAGUGGCACGCUGGAUUCUCUGCUAGCGGUGUAGUUUAGCUGUGUGACAGCUGCGGCUUGCGUUUGCCGUAUGCGGCUGUUUUGUCUGCGAAGCGCUUUAUUGCGCUUGCGCGGUGAGCAUGUCGCAGUAGGCAAGCGGGUCGUCAUCGGUGGGUAAACAUUAGUUAUUUGACCCGUCUUGAAACACGGACCAAGGAGUUCAAAUGGCACGCGAGUCAUUGGGUAUUAAUACCUGAAGGCGAAGUGAAAUGCAAAUGUAUUGUUAUUUGUGGUUGUUCCACGACUAAGUGAUAAGCUACUCGUGCUAUCUGGCAUUUGUAGACUAAAAGCGUGAUGUUUGAGACCCGAAAGAUGGUGAUCUAUGCCUAGUCAAGAUGAAGCCAGAGGAAACUCUGGUGGAUGUCUGAAGUUAUUCUGACGUGCAAAUCGAUAAUCUGAUCUGGGUAUAGGGGCGAAAGACUAAUCGAACCAUCUAGUAGCUGGUUCCUUCCGAAGUUUCCCUCAGGAUAGCAAGCGUACAGUGGUAGUUUCAUCCCGUAAAGCGAAUGAUUAGAGGCAUUGGGACAUAUGUAGUCUCAACCUAUUCUCAAACUUUUAAUGGGUGUGAGUAUUCUUUCUUAAUUGAAGAAGUACUGCUAAAUAAGUAUGCUUAGUGGGCCAUUUUUGGUAAGCAGAACUGGCGCUGUGGGUUGAACCAAAUGUUGAGUUAAAGUGCCUAAAGCUGGAAUGCGCAUUAGAUCUAUAAAGGGUGUUAGUUGCUGAAGACAGCAGG